UCCCGGAGGAGAUCACCCAGCUAGUCACGCUAGAGCACUUUUGCAAUGGGCUCCCCAACGACAAGGCGACAACGCAUUUGUAUGUCAUCCAUAUCAAUGUUCGAUGCCACUUACUGCGCCUACCAUGGUGACCACGGGUAACGGGGAAUCAGGGUUUGAUUCCUGAGAGGGAGCCUGAGAAACGGCUACCACAUGCAAGGAAGGCAGCGGGCACACAAAUGACCCACUCCCGACGCGGGAAGGUAGUGACGA